GCUUAAGUCGUCCUGUGGCAGGACAUUUCCUUGAAGCGGAAACAAUCAGGGUUCGAUUCCCUGCUUAAGCA
rnacentral:tRNA from 1 species